UACGUAGGGGGCGAGCGUUGUCCGGAAUUAUUGGGCGUAAAGAGCUCGUAGGCGGUUUGUCGCGUCGGCCGUGAAAUCUCCACGCUUAACGUGGAGCGUGCGGUCGAUACGGGCAGACUUGAGUUCGGUAGGGGAGACUGGAAUUCCUGGUGUAGCGGUGAAAUGCGCAGAUAUCAGGAGGAACACCGGUGGCGAAGGCGGGUCUCUGGGCCGAUACUGACGCUGAGGAGCGAAAGCGUGGGGAGCGAACAGG
rnacentral:rRNA from 1 species